GGGUAUUCAAGAAGACCAGUCCAAAUUGCAAGCUUACAGUAUAUUUGGGGAAAAGAGAUUUCGUGGACCAUCUAGAUCACGUGGACCCUGUUGAUGGUGUGAUUCUGGUCGAACCUGAAUAUCUCAAAGAUAGAAAAG